AGUGUAACGAACGUAGUCACAUGGGCAUUUUUUUGUACAUAUUUUGGGGGGUACCGUUUGAUUGGUGGCGUCAUCUGACCACCUCAGUAAUUAGGUCAUCACUUGGUCACGUGAUGCUUUUGAUAGAGAACUUUAAGUUUCGUUUUAUACUCAGUUGGUGUGCGCAAGCGGCAAUAGGAAAGACAAAGAACUGAAAUAAGGAAGAAAUGGGCUUCUAGCAACUCCUAACCUUCUGGUUGGAGGGGCAUACGUGUUCACGGUGGUCUUGGACGUUUAUGCGGCAAAAAUUCAUUUAAUAAAACGUUUGAAACCAUCA